rnacentral:snRNA from 1 species
CAAGAUCCAUCUUACUCU